rnacentral:lncRNA from 1 species
GCACUUAACGACUGAUGAAAGUGGGACAGUUUGCUUCAAAUGAUUCAGAAGCAUAAAUAGGACUAACAUAAUUGAAUGGGCUUUUCCCCUAUUCUGGGAGAAUGAGCAUCAAUUCCAUCUUUUUUGGAGGAAUUAAACAAAGGUGUGAACAACUGAAGAGAAGGAGCGUGGAGUCCUCUCCCAAGGAGAGCCUGAGUAGCCAGGUGGGUAGCUUACAGGCAAGCACAGUUCCAAGAAACAACAACAACAACAACAACAACAGAACCAAAAAAGAUCUAAGCUUGCCCACAGCAACAAGAUUUACUGUGUCUCAGAACUCUGCUCUAAGGGUAAAGAAUACUGUGACUGAUUGGCUGUCCUCCACUUUCCCCAGAAAAACUUAAAGCAGGGUGACACCAUCUCCAGCUCCAGGGGCAAAUCAUAUUUGAUAUAUUAGGGAGGGGCUGAAGCUGCAGGUGAAGAGCAUCCAUAGCUGUAACUGCAGUGAACCUAGGAAGUCUUGAGUAGAUGUAAAAAAAAAAUGGGUUCCAGAUAUACAACUUCUUCCCCCCACCCCCCACCCUGGGGCCUUGCUUUUAUGACCCCGAGAUCAUGAUCUGAGCUGAAAUCAAGAGUCAGAUGCUUGACCAACUGAGCCACCCAG